UGGAUAGUAAUAUUAAUGAAAUUUAACGGAUUUGGCGGCAAGAUAGCCACUUAGAGGAACCUGCCCUGUAAACGAUGAACCACGAUUAACCUUACUUUUACUAGAAUUCAGUUUGUAUACCGCUGUUGUCAGUUAGUUUCUUUAGAAAACUUUCGUACAUGAUAAAUUCAAGGACUUCAAGUAAAGGUGCAGCUUAUGUAAAAGAUAGAGGUGGGUUACAAUUAAAAGAGCAAUAUGGAUAAAGUUAGGAAAAAACUUUUGAAGGUGGAUUUAAUAGUAAAGUUUAAUAAGACUUGAUUAGAGCUCUAUCUUGUGUACACACCGCCCGUCGCUCGCGGGA
rnacentral:rRNA from 1 species